CAGCCCAGUGAUGGGAGUACGCCGUGAACCAAGGAUUAUGAUUAAUCCAAUUUUGUGCACCUGGGAUCCUUC
rnacentral:snoRNA from 10 species